rnacentral:lncRNA from 1 species
UACGUACAGCUCUUGCCUGAUCUCAGGAUGAAGGCUCCACUCAAUCUUUCUUGUCUUUCUGCCUUCAUCCAUCACACUCUCAGUAGAAUACCGGCCCAAUUCUAAAAACUUUCAGGCAUACUCAGACACUAUCAUCUCACCCUGGACAAAGUGUACAAACACCAUUUUCUUCAAAUACCGAAGAUGCACUAAGAGGUACUCUACAUUAAAGGCUACUAAAAACUAUUCCCAAGUGACUGAAAU